AACGCACAUUGCGCCCGCCAGUAUUCUGGCGGGCAUGCCUGUCCGAGCGUCAUUUCAACCAUCAAGCCCCCGGCUUGUGUUGGGGACCUGCGUCCGACGCAGGCCCUGAAAACCAGUGGCGGGCUCGCUGUCCACACCGAGCGUAGUAACUAACCUCGCUGCGGAGUGGCGCGGGCGCCUGCCGUAAAGCCCCCAAUUUUUACAAGGUUGACCUCGGAUCAGGUAGGAAUACCCGCUGAACUUAA
rnacentral:misc_RNA from 1 species